rnacentral:rRNA from 1 species
AUUGAACGCUGGCGGCAUGCCUUACACAUGCAAGUCGAACGGCAGCAUGGAGAGCUUGCUCUCUGAUGGCGAGUGGCGAACGGGUGAGUAAUGCAUCGGAACGUACCGUGUAAUGGGGGAUAACGUAGCGAAAGUUACGCUAAUACCGCAUACGACCUAAGGGUGAAAGCAGGGGAUCGCAAGACCUUGCGUUAUACGAGCGGCCGAUGUCAGAUUAGCUAGUUGGUGAGGUAAAGGCUCACCAAGGCGACGAUCUGUAGCGGGUCUGAGAGGAUGAUCCGCCACACGGGGACUGAGACACGGCCCAGACUCCUACGGGAGGCAGCAGUGGGGAAUUUUGGACAAUGGGGGCAACCCUGAUCCAGCCAUGCCGCGUGAGUGAAGAAGGCCUUCGGGUUGUAAAGCUCUUUCGGCCGGGAAGAAAUCGCACAGGCUAAUACUCUGUGUGGAUGACGGUACCGGCAUAAGAAGCACCGGCUAACUACGUGCCAGCCGCCGCCGUAA